rnacentral:rRNA from 1 species
CAAGUCGCACGAGAAAGUGGAGCAAUCCAUGAGUACAGUGGCGUACGGGUGAGUAACACGUGGAUUAUCUACCUUCUAGUGGGGAAUACCUCCGGGAAACUGGAGACAAUACCGCAUAAGCUCGUAAGAGGAAAGCAGCAAUGCGCUGGAAGAGGAGUCCGCGGCUGAUUAGCUAGUUGGCGGGGUAAUGGCCCACCAAGGCGAAGAUCGGUAGCCGGCCUGAGAGGGCACACGGCCACACUGGCACUGAAACACGGGCCAGACUCCUACGGGAGGCAGCAGUGGGGAAUCUUGCACAAUGGAGGAAACUCUGAUGCAGCGACGCCGCGUGAGCGAUGAAGCCCUUCGGGGUGUAAAGCUCUUUCGACGGGAACGAUAAUGACGGUACCCGAAGAAGAAGCUGCGGCUAACUACGUGCCAGCAGCCGCGGUAAUACGUANGCAGCAAGCGUUGUUCGGAAUUACUGGGCGUAAAGAGUGUGUAGGCGGUGCUCCAAGUCUGGUGUGAAAUCUCCCGGCUUAACUGGGAGGGUGCAUUAGAAACUGGAAUGCUAGAGGAUGGGAGAGGUAAGCGGAAUUCCUGGUGUAGCGGUGAAAUGCGUAGAUAUCAGGAGGAACACCUGUGGUGUAGACAGCUUACUGGACCAUUUCUGACGCUGAGACACGAAAGCGUGGGUAGCAAACAGGAUUAGAUACCCUGGUAGUCCACGCCCUAAACGAUGCAUACUUUGGUGUGAGCGAUUCAUUUCGUUCGUGCCGGAGCUAACGCGUUAAGUUUGCCCGCCUGGGGA